rnacentral:lncRNA from 1 species
AGGUGGAGGGAAGUCACAGUGUAUCCAGGGGUCUCAGGGAAGGUACUCUGCGGACAGAAUUCUUUAUCAUUCUGGGUGGUGGUCUGCCAGGUUGAAAAGAUGGACAGCCAAUUUACCAUAGGGUGACGCAAGAGACCCAGAGAUGCUGCAAAACCAUUUCCAAAGGCCCCAGAGGACUCCAGCCUCUUAUUCUACGAGCUACAGCUGGCAUCUCACUCACAGCCCUCGCCUUAGGUGAGACUAGUGAGAGUAGGGGAAGCAACAGGGUUUGUGGGCUGGUUAAAACUUCCCAAGUCACUAUUCUCCCUUCCACAAAUACAGGGACUCUUCUGGCCUUGUCUAUCUUCUCAUCUGCCUGUCGUUUUUGCUAUGUGCUGUCUCUCUGAUUUUCACGAUCUCUCCCUUCCUCCCUGCUCUCCCUCUCGCUUCACCACCCUGCACAUCACUUUGGUUUACUGGUAACUUGACUGUCUUAUGAUAUGAUCUUGUCCAAUCCAUGAUUUUACCCUUUCCCGGUAGACUAUUUUAGUCCACAGCAUUCCGUCUAUCCUGAGAUGAAGGUGUUUCUCUAAUGACGUUUGUUCUUCUUUCAUUAUGUGAUUGUAUUCUUAUACAAUGACAUAGGUUAUUUAGGGAGUUCUUUCACAAAGUGACCGAUACUGACAUGCUGCACAUAGUUACUUGAAGAAACUCAGCAUGCUAGUCUAGGCACGGGUAAACAUCUUGCCUCAUCAAUUAUCUCGCUCCCUCCUGGAUCAUCAUUCUCUCCAUCUCCGAUGGCAACUGACCUUCAGCCUACAGCAUAUUAAAAUCUGCAUGAUCUUAAAAAACAACUUUCCAGAAUACUAUUCUCCCUUAAGUAUACCACUCCAUCUCCCUUCUUCUUUUCGGGGCCCUUAACUACCUUCUCUGCCUCCAUUUCUCUCUUUCUUUUGCACUGCCACCUAAGUGAACUUUCUCAAACAUUAGCUGUUACUGCACUCCCUGCUUGAAACCUUGGGACAUCUUUCUUCCAUUAACCCGAGACAGAAAUUGAGACAGGCAUUGCCCUUUGCAGCUGAGUCUCAGCCCCACUUACCAACGUUAUUUCAAGUCAUUUCUUACCUGCUCAAAUCACGCAUCCAACUACAGGAGCUUCCUGGUGAUUUCUAAAUAAUGAAAUCGAAAUUGCCAGACACCGGGAGAUAGAAGCUGGUCAAAAGAGUUUCGCUGCUUGUUUUGUCUCUUCAUAAAUGCCGUGCAAGCAGCGUCCAGACACGGCGGAUUUCCUCCCAACCUCUGUCUGAGAAUGGGCUUCCUCCAUCACCCAUUCAGCACCUUUAAGCUGGAUCAACUCACUCCAUGGCCCAUUGGGUGCUGGCCUCUGAGAGUGUUCCC